rnacentral:rRNA from 1 species
GUCAGCCGCCGCGGUAACACCGGCGGCCCGAGUGGUGAUCGUGAUUAUUGGGUCUAAAGGGUCCGUAGCCGGUUUGGUCAGUCCUCCGGGAAAUCUGAUAGCUCAACUAUUAGGCUUUCGGGGGAUACUGCCAGACUUGGAACCGGGAGAGGUAAGAGGUACUACAGGGGUAGGAGUGAAAUCUUGUAAUCCCUGUGGGACCACCUGUGGCGAAGGCGUCUUACCAGAACGGGUUCGACGGUGAGGGACGAAAGCUGGGGGCACGAACCGGAUUAGAUACCCGGGUAGUCCCAGCCGUAAACGAUGCUCGCUAGGUGUCAGGCAUGGCGCGACCGUGUCUGGUGCCGCAGGGAAGCCGUGAAGCGAGCCACCUGGGAAGUACGGCCGCAAGGCUGAAACUUAAAGGAAUUGGCGGGGGAGCACAACAACGGGUGGAAGCCUGCGGUUUAAUUGGACUCAACGCCGGACAACUCACCGGGGGCGACAGCAAUAUGUAGGCCAAGCUGAAGACUUUGCCUGAAUCGCUGAGGGGUGGUGCAUGG